rnacentral:rRNA from 1 species
UAACACGUGGGGAACCUGCCCCAUAGUCUGGGAUACCACUUGGAAACAGGUGCUAAUACCGGAUAAGAAAGCGGAUCGCAUGAUCAGCUUUUAAAAGGCGGCGUAAGCUGUCGCUAUGGGAUGGCCCCGCGGUGCAUUAGCUAGUUGGUAAGGUAAAGGCUUACCAAGGCGAUGAUUCAUAGCCGAGUUGAGAGACUGAUCGGCCACAUUGGGACUGAGACACGGCCCAAACUCCUACGGGAGGCAGCAGCA